rnacentral:rRNA from 1 species
CCUACGGGGGGCUGCAGUGAGGAAUAUUGGUCAAUGGUCGCAAGACUGAACCAGCCAUGCCGCGUGCAGGAAGACGGUCCUAUGGAUUGUAAACUGCUUUUAUACAGGAAGAAACCCUCCCACGUGUGGGAGCUUGACGGUACUGUAAGAAUAAGGAUCGGCUAACUCCGUGCCAGCAGCCGCGGUAAUACGGAGGAUCCAAGCGUUAUCCGGAAUCAUUGGGUUUAAAGGGUCCGUAGGCGGUCUUAUAAGUCAGUGGUGAAAGCCCAUCGCUCAACGAUGGAACUGCCAUUGAUACUGUAAGGCUUGAAUGCUUAGGAAGUAACUAGAAUAUGUAGUGUAGCGGUGAAAUGCUUAGAUAUUACAUGGAAUACCAAUUGCGAAGGCAGGUUACUACUAAGUGAUUGACGCUGAUGGACGAAAGCGUGGGGAGCGAACAGGAUUAGAUACCCCUGUAGUC